rnacentral:rRNA from 1 species
UAUAAAGUCUAAUCUGCCCAAUGAUUAUUUAAAUGGCCGCGGUAUUUUGACCGUGCAAAGGUAGCAUAAUAAUUAGUUUUUUAAUUGAAAGCUGGAAUGAAUGAUUGGACGAGAAAAUUUCUGUCUCUUUUUAGUUUAUUUUGAAUUUUAUUUUUAAGUAAAAAAGCUUAAAUUUGUUUAAAAGACGAGAAGACCCUAUAGAGUUUAAUAAAUUUAUUUGUAAUAAUUAAAAGGUUAUUAUUAAGUUAAUAUGUAUGAAUUUAUUUUGUUGGGGUGAUAGGAAAAUUGAUAAAACUUUUUUUUUAGUUUAUUUUACAUAUAUUUAUGAGUGAAUGAUCCAAUUUUUUUUUUGAUUAUAAGAUUUAAUUACCUUAGGGAUAACAGCGUAAUUUUUUUUUAGAGUUCUUAUCGAAAAUAAAGUUUGCGACCUCGAUGUUGGAUUAAAAUUAAUGUUUGGCGUAGAAGUUAAGCUAUUAGGUCUGUUCGACCUUUAAAAUUUUACAUGAUCUGAGUUUAAACCGGUGUGAGCCAGGUUGGUUUCUAUCUUUAAAUUAAUUGAAUGUUUUAGUACGAAAGGACCAAAUAUUUGUAAUAAUUAUUAAUUUUGAUUAAUAUUAA